CCUACGGGGGGCAGCAGUGGGGGAUAUUGCACAAUGGGGGAAACCCUGAUGCAGCGACGCCGCGUGAGUGAAGAAGGAUUUCGGUAUGUAAAGCUCUAUCAGCAGGGAAGCAAAUGACAGUACCUGACCAUGACGCCCCGGCUAACUACGUGCCAGCAGCCGCGGUAAUACGCAGGAGGCAAGCGUUAUCCGGAUUGACUGGGUGUAAGGGGGGCGUAGACGGUUAUGUAAGUCUGGAGUGAAAGCCCGGGCCCAACCCCGGGACUGCUUUGGAAACUGGGUAACUGGAGUGCAGGAGGGGCAGGCGGAAUUCCUGGUGUAGCGGUGAAAUGCGUAGAUAUCAGGAGGAACACCGGCGGCGAAGGCGGCCUGCUGGACUGAAACUGACGUUGAGGCUCGAAAGCGUGGGGAGCAAACAGGAUUAGAUACCCCUGUAGUC
rnacentral:rRNA from 1 species